UAGUCAUAUGCUUGUCUCAAAGAUUAAGCCAUGCAUGUCUAAGUAUAAACAACUUUAUACUGUAAAACUGCAGAUGGCUCAUUAAAACAGUUAUAAUUUCUUUGAUGGUUACUUUACUACAUGGAUAACCGUAGUAAUUCUGGAGCUAAUACAUGCGUCAAGUCCUGACUCUCGCGGGGAGGGAUGUAUUUAUUAGAUAAAAAACCAAUACGGCUUGCCGUUUAUCUGGUGAUUCAUAAUAACUAGUCGAAGCGCAUGGCCUCGUGCCGGCGCUAGUUCAUUCAAAUUUCUGCCCUAUCAGCUUUCGACGGUAGUGUAGUGGACUACCGUGGCAUUAACGGGUAACGGAGAAUUAGGGUUCGAUUCCGGAGAGGGAGCCUGAGAAAUGGCUACCACAUCCAAGGAAGGCAGCAGGCGCGCAAAUUACCCAAUCGCAAUUCGCGGAGGUAGUGACAAGAAAUAACAAUACCGGGCCUUUUAGGUCUGGUAAUUGGAAUGAGUACAAUGUAAAACUCUUAACGAGUAACAAGU
rnacentral:rRNA from 1 species